rnacentral:rRNA from 1 species
GGACUACACGGGUAUCUAAUCCUGUUUGCUCCCCACGCUUUCGCACCUCAGUGUCAGUAUCUGCCCAGGUCGCCGCCUUCGCCACUGGUGUUCCUCCCGAUAUCUACGAAUUUCACCUCUACACCGGGAAUUCCGCGACCCUCUUCAGUACUCAAGCCUGCCAGUUUCGAGUGCACUUCCUGGGUUGAGCCCAGGGAUUUCACACCCGACUUAACAGGCCACCUACGUGCGCUUUACGCCCAAUGAUUCCGAGCAACGUUUGCACCCUCCGUAUUACCGCGGCUGCUGGCAC